rnacentral:rRNA from 1 species
GACGAACGCUGGCGGCGUGCUUAACACAUGCAAGUCGAACGGAAAGGCCCUGCUUUUGUGGGGUGCUCGAGUGGCGAACGGGUGAGUAACACGUGAGUAACCUGCCCUUGACUUUGGGAUAACUUCAGGAAACUGGGGCUAAUACCGGAUAGGAGCUCCUGCUGCAUGGUGGGGGUUGGAAAGUUUCGGCGGUUGGGGAUGGACUCGCGGCUUAUCAGCUUGUUGGUGGGGUAGUGGCUUACCAAGGCUUUGACGGGUAGCCGGCCUGAGGGGGUGACCGGCCACAUUGGGACUGGGAUACGGCCCGGCCUCCUACGGGGGGCAGCGGUGGGGAAUAUUGCACAAUGGGCGGAAGCCUGAUGCAGCAACGCCGCGUGCGGGAUGACGGCCUUCGGGUUGUAAACCGCUUUCGCCUGUGACGAAGCGUGAGUGACGGUAAUGGGUAAAGAAGCACCGGCUAACUACGUG